UAACAAUGGAGAGUUUGAUCCUGGCUCAGGAUGAACGCUAGCGGCAGGCUUAAUACAUGCAAGUCGAGGGGUAACAGUUGAGUAGCAAUACUUGAGCUGACGACCGGCAAACGGGUGCGGAACACGUGCGAAACUUUCCCUUAUCUGGGGGAUAGCCCGAAGAAAUUCGGAUUAAUACCCCAUAAUAUAUUAGAGUGGCAUCGCUUUAAUAUUAAAACUCCGGUGGAUAAGGAUGGUCGCGCGUAUGAUUAGGUAGUU
rnacentral:rRNA from 1 species